rnacentral:tRNA from 1 species
CGGGAGAUAGCACAGAGGAAGUGUAUCUGAUUUGGGUUCAGAUGGUCGCAGGUUCGAAUCCUGUUCCCCCGU